AAAAAAAAAAAACAAGCAAGCAAGCUUCUGGAGUAUUUGACCUCGUCGCGUGUUGAGUUUCGUGGAGAUGAAAGUCAUGUUAGAUCCUCUUCAACUACUUCACCCUUGCCUGAUUCUUCAAUGCUUCACAAUAAAUUCCAUAUUUUUCUUGCCCAUUGUCGCUCGCUCAUUCCCUUUCGAUCCCCAUCCAGGACGAAUUGGCCAUGUUCUCGAGGCUUGCAACUUUCCGGAGCAAGGAAGCUGCUGCUCAAAAGGGGAAGAAACUUGACCAUGAAAGAUUUACUUCACAAAAUCAUUCAACUGAAGAUGACAAUUCAGUGAAUGGACUCUACUGUUCUCUAAAGUCAAUGCCAUCAUUUAUAUCAACUCCAGAAGCGUCUUUUGAUGUACCAACAUUGCAAUGCUCUAAUGCCUCUUGCACUUCAUCACCACUUUCACACAGAAACUCAACUUUGGAGUCUAUUAAGUCAAUUUCUUCCGAUGUCAGUCAAGAAAACCUCACCUCCUCAUCACUUCAAUGGGAGGAGAUUAUUUUUAGUCCUCUAGUCUUGCCUCCUUAUGAAGAGGCUGAAGAACAGUUCUUGGAAGAUUAUGAAAGCUAUUUCCUACAUUUGGCCGUGGAUAAUGUGCGUAAGGAUCAAUAUCCUAUGCUUGACAUGCGUGAAUUUAUCUAUUUGGAUUACGCAACAUGCCCACUUUACUCUCGCUUUCAGGUUGAGCAGCACAUGAAAUUUCUGCUUGAUGAGACUGAGCCAUUCGGAUUGAAUUAUAUUGUUGACCAAAAGUUUCCUUUGAGUAGCACCUAUACUGACCUUCUAUGUCAUCAUAUCUUAAAUAUUCUUAACACAACCCUAGAUGAUUUUUCUGUGGUGUUUACACCUGGCCUUGUAUCAUGUUACCGCCUUUUCACUGAAAUGUAUGAGUUACAAAAACGUAGUCUUAUACUAGUUGGUCUCGACCAUCAUGGUCCUGUGCAGCACAUACUUGAAUCGGCAGCUCAAUGCAAUGUCAAAGUUGGAGGCAUUCCUCUGAAAGAGAGAGAUUUGUCAAUCCAUGGCAAUGAAAUGCACAAAUUAUUGAGAAAGCAAGGAUGGAGUGGUCAAGGAUCUGGUCUUCUGAUCUACUCUACACAGUCAUUGUCAACAGGGAUGUGCCACUCUAUGAGUUGGAUUACUAGCGCGCAGCAAAAUGGAUGGAAAGUUCUUCUUGAUGUUUCCAGUUCCCUUCCCAUGAUAAACAUUGACCUUUCUACAUACCAACCUGAAUUUGUGAUAGGAUCCUUGCACCACAUGCUUGGUUAUCCCUCUGGCCUUUGUUUUCUGCUAGUUCGAAGGAGUUCUCAUUCUAUUAGUGGGAAAAAAGGAUCUCGAGAGUUGCGAUUCAUAGAGUAUCCUGAAAAUGGGAAGGCUGUUCAUGUUGUAACUGAAGGUGAGAAUUUGACUGCACAUACAUUUGCAGCUAUGAAUUUUGGUUUUGAGCAUUUGGAGAGCAUCGGUAUGGUUGCUAUUCAGAGGAGAGUGGAGAGCUUGAUUGCAUGGUUGAUUAAAACUUUAAAAUCUCUAAGGCAUAAGCUGUUUGAAAAACCUCUUAUUCAGCUUUACGGAUCGCUAGAUGUUAAGUACAGAGGUUCUAUAUUGUCAUUUAAUAUCAUAGAUUCAACUGGAAACAUUUUUCCAGCUAGACCAGUGCAGCAGCUAGCAUUGAGAAGCAACAUUGUCUUAGGUUGUUGCAGUCUAAUUGAUGCAAAAAAUGCCAAGCUCUUGCACCUUAAAUCGUACUGGAGGAUGGAAAACGGGCAUCUUGAUUUGUCUUUAUGCAAUCUUGAAGUUCUUCGCUUAUCACUAGGCCCUGUUUCCACAUUUAGUGAUGCCUAUAGGCUUGUAAUGUUUAUAUCAAGAUUUAGGGACGAAAAGUACAUGUCAAGUAUAGCAGCUAGUUAUGCAGAAGAGAUCGAGAACGAAUGCUGAGCUGUUGGCAUUGCAGUUGGAGUCAGAAUUCAUCUUCUUGACGGAGCUGAAAGAGGCAAAAGGUCAUAUAAAAAGGUACUAUCUGAUUCAAUUCAACCUGAAUUGUAUCUAAUUUUAAAGAAUUCGGAUGUUAACCAACCUCUAUGAGCUGAAAAAAAAAAAUUGGCACCCCCCACCUCCUUAAUGGAUUAAAUUGAAUGUUGACACAUCUCUUCUUCAAUGUAAUAGAAAUGGCAUUGCUGGGGUGAUAAGAGACCAUAAAGGAAGAUUUUUUGUUAGCUUAUGGAAAGAAAUUAAUGUAUUGGGAUAUGUCUCCAUUGGACCUCCUUACUAUCAUUGCUUUCAAGGAAAUGCUCAAGGGUGGAUGCAUGAAAAGCCAGGAUUUUUUAUUGAGGGGAUAAUGUAAACAUUAUGAAGAUGCUUCUGAAUUCAAUGGAGAUCGAAUGGCAAGGUAAAGACCAAAUGCAACAGGAUUUAUCUUUCUUUAAAAGUUUUAAUCAUGUUAUUUUUCAUUAUGUGUCCAAAGAUUGUAGUAAGGUGGCUGAUUUAUGUUCCCAUUAUGCUAUUUUAGAGAAAUUUUUUGGGGACAAUGUAGUAGUCAAUAACCUUCCAUCAACUUUUUUAUUCUUGAACAGGAGGGAUUCUGAUAGUUUGUCUAUCACUUAGUUGACUAUAUAUUUUUUCCCUUUUUAAUGCAAAUU